UUUUUACUCAAUUGAUUUUUCUAAGUAAAUCGAUUUUCCUCCAUGCCACCGUCUGGGUCGAGCUUCGUCGGGGGUCGAGUUGCCGAUGAGAUGAGUGUGGGGUCGAGAUUCGAGUUCCGUCAUGGGGUCGAGUUACCUCCGGGAUGAGUGUGGGGGUUGUU